CCUACGGGAGGCAGCAGUGGGGAAUCUUGCGCAAUGGGGGCAACCCUGACGCAGCCAUGCCGCGUGAAUGAUGAAGGCCUUAGGGUUGUAAAGUUCUUUUGCCCGUGACGAUGAUGACGGUAACGGGAGAAUAAGCUCCGGCUAACUUCGUGCCAGCAGCCGCGGUAAUACGAAGGGGGCUAGCGUUGUUCGGAAUUACUGGGCGUAAAGCGCGCGCAGGCGGUUCGAUAAGUUAGGGGUGAAAUCCCUGGGCUCAACCCAGGAAUGGCCUUUAAGACUGUCGAGCUAGAGGACGAGAGAGGUGAGUGGAAUUCCCAGUGUAGAGGUGAAAUUCGUAGAUAUUGGGAAGAACACCGGUGGCGAAGGCGGCUCACUGGCUCGUUUCUGACGCUGAGGCGCGAAAGCGUGGGGAGCAAACAGGAUUAGAUACCCGUGGUAGUCCACGCCCUAAACGAUGAGUGCCAGGUGUCGGGAAGCUUAGCUUCUCGGCGCCGCAGCUAACGCCUUAAGCACUCCGCCUGGGGAGUACGGCCGCAAGGUUAAACUUAAAUGAAUUGACGGCUGAGACGNGCGAGCGACGACGAGGGAGAG
rnacentral:rRNA from 1 species